rnacentral:ncRNA from 1 species
GUUUUUCAGCGUGCUGUCGAGCGGUUUGAUGUACAGGCUGUUGUUGUUCAGACGAACAUCGCCUUUCGCGGUGGUCAUCUCGCCGUCCAGCGGGAUAUCCAGAUGUAAGCGAGCACUUACAUCGCCAUCCAACUGUAGCUCCUGAAGGGUGGCUCCCAGUGAAUCAUCCAACGGCGUAUCCUCAAAAUACGGCCCAACCGCCUUGCCCGGGCCAUUGAUAUCCGCAUCAAUAAGCAGCUUCUCUUUGGAAUAGUCCGGGAUAUUUGCCGUCAGAUUGCUGGCCGUCACGCCACCCAGCGCAACGCUGUCUGACUUCAUCCACAAUCCGUCAUUGAGGAAGUUGAGUUCAAUAUCCAGAUUUUUCAGCGCAGGCCAACCCGGCUGGAAGGCGAAAGUGGCGUUGUGCAGCGGCAC